rnacentral:rRNA from 1 species
CCCUUAGAUGUCCUGGGCCGCACGCGUGCUACACUGAUGCAUACAGCGAGUACUUUCCAGCUCCGCGAGGCAGCUGGUAAUCAGCAAUAUGCAUCGUGCUGGGGAUAGAUCUUUGGAAUUAUAGAUCUUGAACGAGGAAUUCCUAGUAAGCGCAAGUCAUUAGCUUGCGCUGAUUAAGUCCCUGCCCUUUGUACACACCGCCCGCCGCUCCUACCGAUUUCGAGUGAUUCGGUGAACCUUUUGGACAGCGUCUGUCCUCGUGUCAGAUGCUGAAAGUCAAGUAAACCAUAUCACUUAGAGGAAGGAGAAGUCGUAACA